rnacentral:rRNA from 1 species
GAUGAACGCUAGCUACAGGCUUAACACAUGCAAGUCGAGGGGCAGCACGGAGAUAGCUUGCUAUCUUGGGUGGCGACCGGGGCACGGGUGAGUAGCGCGUAUCCAACCUGCCCAUUACUCUGGGAUAGCCUUGCGAAAGUAAGAUUAAUACCGGAUGUUGUUAAAAACCCGCAUGAGUUUUUAACCAAAGAUUUAUUGGUAAUGGAUGGGGAUGCGUGACAUUAGGUAGUUGGUGAGGUAACGGCUCACCAAGCCGACGAUGUCUAGGGGUUCUGAGAGGAAGGUCCCCCACACUGGAACUGAGACACGGUCCAGACUCCUACGGGAGGCAGCAGUGAGGAAUAUUGGUCAAUGGACGAGAGUCUGAACCAGCCAAGUAGCGUGCAGGAUGACGGCCCUCUGGGUUGUAAACUGCUUUUAGUUGGGAAUAAAAAGAGGGACGUGUCCCUAAUUGUAUGUACCAUCAGAAAAAGGACCGGCUAAUUCCGUGCCAGCCGCCGCCGUAAGAC